UCCGCGGUAGCUCAAUGGUGGAGCAGAUUCCUGUUAAGAAUAAGGUUGUUGGUUCGAGCCCAACCCGCGGAGCCA
rnacentral:tRNA from 1 species